rnacentral:rRNA from 1 species
UACGAAGGGGGCUAGCGUUGCUCGGAAUGACUGGGCGUAAAGGGCGCGUAGGCGGAGUGCUUUGUCAGGCGUGAAAUUCCAGGGCUUAACCUUGGGGCUGCGUUUGAGACGAGCAUUCUUGAGUAUGGAAGAGGGUCGUGGAAUUCCCAGUGUAGAGGUGAAAUUCGUAGAUAUUGGGAAGAACACCGGUGGCGAAGGCGGCUUCCUGGACACUUACUGACGCUGAGACGCGAAAGCGUGGGGAGCAAACAGG